UACGGGAGGCAGCAGUAGGGAAUCUUCCACAAUGGACGAAAGUCUGAUGGAGCAACGCCGCGUGAGUGAAGAAGGGUUUCGGCUCGUAAAACUCUGUUGUUAAAGAAGAACAUAUCUGAGAGUAACUGUUCAGGUAUUGACGGUAUUUAACCAGAAAGCCACGGCUAACUACGUGCCAGCAGCCGCGGUAAUACGUAGGUGGCAAGCGUUGUCCGGAUUUAUUGGGCGUAAAGCGAGCGCAGGCGGUUUUUUAAGUCUGAUGUGAAAGCCUUCGGCUCAACCGAAGAAGUGCAUCGGAAACUGGGAAACUUGAGUGCAGAAGAGGACAGUGGAACUCCAUGUGUAGCGGUGAAAUGCGUAGAUAUAUGGAAGAACACCAGUGGCGAAGGCGGCUGUCUGGUCUGUAACUGACGCUGAGGCUCGAAAGUAUGGGUAGCAAACAGGAUUAGAUACCCUGGUAGUCCAUACCGUAAACGAUGAAUGCUAAGUGUUGGAGGGUUUCCGCCCUUCAGUGCUGCAGCUAACGCAUUAAGCAUUCCGCCUGGGGAGUACGGCCGCAAGGCUGAAACUCAAAGGAAUUGACGGGGGCCCGCACAAGCGGUGGAGCAUGUGGUUUAAUUCGAAGCUACGCGAAGAACCUUACCAGGUCUUGACAUACUAUGCAAAUCUAAGAGAUUAGACGUUCCCUUCGGGGACAUGGAUACAGGUGGUGCAUGGUUGUCGUCAGCUCGUGUCGUGAGAUGUUGGGUUAAGUCCCGCAACGAGCGCAACCCUUAUUAUCAGUUGCCAGCAUUAAGUUGGGCACUCUGGUGAGACUGCCGGUGACAAACCGGAGGAAGGUGGGGAUGACGUCAAAUCAUCAUGCCCCUUAUGACCUGGGCUACACACGUGCUACAAUGGAUGGUACAACGAGUUGCGAACUCGCGAGAGUAAGCUAAUCUCUUAAAGCCAUUCUCAGUUCGGAUUGUAGGCUGCAACUCGCCUACAUGAAGUCGGAAUCGCUAGUAAUCGCGGAUCAGCAUGCCGCGGUGAAUACGUUCCCGGGCCUUGUACACACCGCCCGUCACACCAUGAGAGUUUGUAACACCCAAAGUCGGUGGGGUAACCUUU
rnacentral:rRNA from 1 species